GACGUAGGUGGCAAACGUUAUCCGGAAUUAUUGGGCGUAAAGGGUGCGUAGAUGGCCUGAUAAGUUAGCCGUGGGAAAUCGAGGCUCAACCUCGUGGAAGCUGGUAAUACUGUCAGGCUCGAGUGCAGGAGAGGUUAACGGAACUCCAUGUGGAGCGGUAAAAUGUGUAGAUAUAUGGAAGAACACCAAUAACGGCGAAGGCAGUUAACUAUUCUGUUACUGACAUUGAGGCACGAAAGCGUGGGGAGCAAAACGG
rnacentral:rRNA from 1 species